rnacentral:ncRNA from 1 species
UGCGACGAGUUGACUCAAUCAGACAGCUUUGCUGUUCCGUUUUGACGGCUAGUGAUUGACCAAUCCACAGAGGCACAUAUGUUUAAUCAUACCUACCGGAUGUAGGCGUGUCGGAUAAAUAUUUUUGUGGAGAAG